AUUUCAAGAGGGCAAGAAGUUCCUGUCCAAGGUUACUUUGCUGAAAAAUAGAAUCGGAAAUAACAGGGGAAAGAUGGGACUCAGUGCCAUACCAGCAGCAGCUUCCAGCUCUUAUCACCCAUUCCUAGAUUACUGCAUCCAAGCUAUUCUGCCUCAGGCUGCUAUCCCUAACCAAUUCAUCCUACACAUCACUGCCAGAUUAAUAAUUCUAGACCAGGGCUUCCCUGGUGGCAC